rnacentral:rRNA from 1 species
UACAGAGGUCCCAAGCGUUGUUCGGAUUCACUGGGCGUAAAGGGUGCGUAGGCGGUCGGGUAAGUCUGAUGUGAAAUCUCACAGCUUAACUGUGAAACUGCAUUGGAUACUAUUCGGCUUGAGAGUUGGAGGGGGGACUGGAAUUCUUGGUGUAGCAGUGAAAUGCGUAGAGACCCGGAGGAACACCAGUGGCGAAGGCGGCUUCCUGGUCUGCGACUGACGCUGUGGCGCGAAAGCUAGGGGAGCAAACGGG